CCCGGGCGGGAGAACGCGGCAACGGAAGGGACCAGGACGCGCCGCCUCGCUGGCUCUCCGCAGGCCGCCUCCUAGCUUUUGAUUUUAAACAUUUUAGGUGUUUUCUUUCUUUCUCUCUUUUCUUUUCUCCCGUCUCAUUUCUCCCCGCCUUCGGGUUCCAGCAGAGCCGAGGAAGCCCUCAGAAUAAGAAAGGAAGUGGGUCGGAGCUUGGAAGCUCUGCAGCCGGCCAGCCCCGGGCUUCGAGGGGGCGGGAGCCAACGCGCACCAGUUGCGGGCCGGGAGCGCGGUCCCCCUCCUUACUCUCUUUGCUCGUUUGUUUUAAUCUGUUUGUGCAAAAAUCUUGUCUGCGUUGGGCCUCUCUCCUUUAUUUUGUAUUCGGUAGCUCUCCAACUCCUGGCUUUUGCUCCCACCACCACCACCCUUUAUUUAAUUUUUUUAAAUAUUUUUAAUUUUUUUUUCUUCCUCCGUCUCUUGGACCUCAAUUCCAAACAUUUUCCAAACCAACAAAGAAAAGUUCGCACGCUGGCACCGCGGCCAGGACAGCCUGGCGCUCUGCUGCGGGUUCCCCCUACCCUUUCCUGGACACUUGACUCAACCUUGCAAGCAAGUGUGUAGAGUGUGUGGGUGUGGG
rnacentral:lncRNA from 1 species